AAGACUCAUUUGUGGCUUUAAGUAGUGACCAAAUUGGCUAAAAGUCCCAAAGAUAAAACAUGUUUGACAUGUUGCUUCAGGAGGAAGUUUGGAACACUUGGUGAACUUCUUGAGAAAUAAGUGAGUGGGCACCCACAAGAUACUACAAGCUAUUGGAGGCAUUCAGUAUAUCAAAUCAGAAAAUUGAGCAAAGUACUGAGGAUCACAGAGGACAGAUCAGUCAACUCUGCCUGUGAUAUUCAUAAACAAAGUCUUCAUAUAAGAGUCAUACACAUUCAGUGGAAGAAAGAUGUUUAAUCAACUGCACUCAGGAGACUCUCUUAAAGUUAACGGUCUGGUCUUGGAAGAAGGGAUAAACACCACCGUUAGAAGAAGUUGGAGCUUCCAUUACAGUAACAUGUGGCCCUGUGGUUGAGUGCUAGCCCCUGGAAUGUGGGCAGAAGUGACAUACACUGAUUUCAAGCUUGACCCAUAAACUUCAGGGAGCAGUCCUCCGUGCUCUGUUUCCUCCUCUGGCUGGUUGGAAUGGAGACAGCUUCCAUGGCAUUAAUCAAAGCUACAAGGGGAAGAUAACAGAGUCUCCAAGAGCUUAGGUCCUCAAGUGACUUUGCAGAGACUUUUCAUCUUCUCGGUAUUGUUACACGACGAAAAACAUUAAGCAUAAGUUGAGGUCUGUUCAUUACAGAGAUUACUCUACCCUAUUACAUCAAAUUGUCACAUUGAUUUGUUAAUUUAAUGAAUAUCUGUUGAAUAUUAAUCGUGCACCCAGCACUAUAUUGGGUGCUGGUGAUGGAGUGAAGAACAAAGUAUAUGAACUGUCUUGCUGUCACAGAGCUUACGGCCCAGGAGGUGAACCCCAAUUUUAUAUGUUUCAGCUCAGUGUGCCUCAAUGUACUAUUUUAUUACAUCAAAGUAUACUUUUUAUAUUU